rnacentral:rRNA from 1 species
GGUCGGUUUGGCCGGAUUUCACACAGGUGUUGCAUGGCUGUCGUCAGCUCGUGUCGUGAGAUGUUGGGUUAAGUCCCGCAACGAGCGCAACCCUCAUCCUUAGUUACCAUCAGGUUAUGCUGGGGACUUUAAGGAAACUGCCAGUGAUAAACUGGAGGAAGGUGGGGAUGAUGUCAAGUCAUCAUGGCCCUUAUGGAGUGGGCUACACACGUGCUACAAUGGUGAUUACAAUGGGCUGCAAGGUCGCAAGGCUGAGCUAAUCCUAAAAAAUCAUCUCAGUUCGGAUUGUUCUCUGCAACUCGAGAGCAUGAAGUUGGAAUCGCUAGUAAUCGUGGAUCAGCAUGCUACGGUGAAUACGUUCUCGGGUCUUGUACACACUGCCCGUCACGCCAUGGUAAUUGGUUUCACACAGGUGU